GGGAGGUAGUGACAAUAAAUAACAAUACAGGGUUCUUUUGGAUCUUGCAAUUGGAAUGAGUACAAUUUAAAUCUCUUAACGAGGAACAAUUGGAGGGCAAGUCUGGUGCCAGCAGCCGCGGUAAUUCCAGCUCCAAUAGCGUAUAUUAAAGUUGUUGCAGUUAAAAAGCUCGUAGUUGAAUUUCGGGAUCAAUAUAUCGGUCGUGCCUCUGGUUCGUACUGGUAUCAUUGAUUUCUCCUUUCUGACGAACCAUGAUGUCAUUAAUUUGGUGUUAUGGGGAGUUAGGACUGUUACUUUGAAAAAUUAGAGUGUUUAAAGCAGGCAUUAGCUUGAAUACAUUAGCAUGGAAUAAUGAAAUAGGACGUUUGACCCUAUUUUGUUGGUUUCUAGGAUCGACGUAAUGAUUAAUAGGGAUAGUUGGG
rnacentral:rRNA from 1 species